UCCGAAAUAGCUCAAUCGGUAGAGCAACCGGCUGUUAACCGGUAGGUUCCAGGUUCGACCCCUGGUUUCGGAGCCA
rnacentral:tRNA from 1 species